GACGAACGCUGGCGGCGUGCUUAACACAUGCAAGUCGAACGGAAAGGCCCUGCUUUUGUGGGGUGCUCGAGUGGCGAACGGGUGAGUAACACGUGAGUAACCUGCCCUUGACUUUGGGAUAACUUCAGGAAACUGGGGCUAAUACCGGAUAGGAGCUCCUGCUGCAUGGUGGGGGUUGGAAAGUUUCGGCGGUUGGGGAUGGACUCGCGGCUUAUCAGCUUGUUGGUGGGGUAGUGGCUUACCAAGGCUUUGACGGGUAGCCGGCCUGAGAGGGUGACCGGCCACAUUGGGACUGGGAUACGGCCCAGACGCCUACGGGAGGAAGCAGUGGGGAAUAUUGCACAAUGGGCGGAAGCCUGAUGCAGCAACGCCGCGUGCGGGAUGACGGCCUUCGGGUUGUAAACCGCUUUCGCCUGUGACGAAGCGUGAGUGACGGUAAUGGGUAAAGAAGCACCGGCUAACUACGU
rnacentral:rRNA from 1 species